rnacentral:rRNA from 1 species
CAGCAGCCACGGUAAUACGUAGGGUGCGAGCGUUAAUCGGAAUUACUGGGCGUAAAGCGUGCGCAGGCGGUUGUGCAAGACAGAUGUGAAAUCCCCGAGCUUAACUUGGGAACUGCAUUUGUGACUGCACGGCUAGAGUGUGUCAGAGGGGGGUAGAAUUCCACGUGUAGCAGUGAAAUGCGUAGAUAUGUGGAGGAAUACCGAUGGCGAAGGCAGCCCCCUGGGAUAACACUGACGCUCAUGCACGAAAGCGUGGGGAGCAAACAGGAUUAGAUACCCCUGUAGUCCCUGUCUCUUAUAC